GGUACCUGGGACCACAGAUAUCUAAGGCCACCUAAACAUCCUUGUGCAAUGUCUAACAUUUUAUGGGAUGCUACUGUAAUUCUGUAGGGCUUAAUCGUUGAGCCAGUGUGCAGACUGAGUGGUUGGGCUUCUCAUUUGCACAUGGAGGAAGGACUCCUUGUCCCAGCCUGCAGGGUGCUAGUUGCAAUAUCCCCUUAACCCUUUAAAGGGGGAAGAGAGGAAAUGAUGGAAUCCCUGCAGUGACAUAAUCCACAUCACCUGACCCUGCUUUUUUUGAGGCCAGCCUGCCUGCCUCCAAUCCCUUUUUACUGGGGUGCAGGGAGCCCCUGCCAAGCAGAACUCCCUGCACCGCAAGAAGGAGCAUACAAGGGUGCAGGCACUCUCCAGCCUGGCUAGCCAGACAGAUCCCCUGGAUUUGGAUCAUUCUGCACUCAGCAGCACUUUUUGACCUUUGCUCCUACUUCUCAAGGUGUCUUGUUCUUACGGACCAUAAUGGCAGCUGGGAGAUGAUUCCACUGUGCUACACAGUCAACCCUGGACCUAAGGAAAUAAUUGCAUUUUGGUGUCUGCAGCAGUCAUGAGAGACUUACCCUACCCCAAUGUCACUGGGAUGAGAUGGGCACUGUUUUCAUUAUUACUUGGCAUGCAUGUCUUUGUUUACCAGUGCUGGGUAUGCAGCCUCUGAUAAAGGUGAUUAAUUACUACUCACUGUUUGCUGUUGGAGGCUCCUCUGUCCCUCUGUUCAAAAUUCACCCUUUAUUGUUGUGGUGACUGAUUACUGAAUUUUCAUAACACAAGGAAACAGAUUUUAAUAAAUUUAAAGUAAAAUUAGUGCUUAAGAAAGCAGUUAUCACCAAUGCCCUAAGGUUCAAAAUCAUGUGUCAGACCCCUAAAAUCAUGAGAUUAAAAACCUAUGGUGUUUUUGGGCUGUCUUUUAAUUUUUGACUCCUCCUGCUCCCUCCCCGCGUGGUGUGUGUGUGUGUGACAAAUAGUGUUGCCAAUGCUCCCAAAUUUAUUAAGAUUAUUUUGGCCCCUGGCUGCAGGAUCUCUUACCCUCCCUCCCCCAUGUCUACUCAUCCCCAGCCUAUCAGUUC